rnacentral:rRNA from 1 species
AAACGUUAUUCGGAUUCACUGGGCUUAAAGGGUGCGUAGGCGGCCAUGUAAGUCGGGUGUGAAAUCCCCCGGCUUAACCGGGGAACUGCGCCCUAAACUGUGUGGCUUGAGUGAGAUAGGGGUGUGUGGAACUUCCGGUGGAGCGGUGAAAUGUGUUGAUAUCGGAAGGAACGCCGGUGGCGAAAGCGACACACUGGGUCUCAACUGACGCUGAGGCACGAAAGCGUGGGGAGCAAACAGG